rnacentral:rRNA from 1 species
CCCUUAGAUGUCCUGGGCUGCACGCGCGCUACACUGAUGUGUCCAGUAAGCACCUAACCUCUUCCGAAAGGAACGGGUAACCUUUGCAAAGCACAUCGUGAUGGGGAUAGAUUAUUGCAAUUAUUAGUCUUGAACGAGGAAUUCCUAGUAAGCACAAGUCAUCAGCUUGUGUUGAUUACGUCCCUGCCCUUUGUACACACCGCCCGUCGCUCCUACCGAUUGAAUGUUCCGGUUAGCUCUUCGGACUGCGCGGUCUGCAGUUUCUGCGUUCCGUGCGGAAAGUUGCGCAAACCUUAACAUUUAGAGGAAGGAGAAGUCGUAACA